rfam:Danio rerio chromosome 7, GRCz11 reference primary assembly.
GACCUUGUGGCGCAACGGUAGCGCGUCUGACACCAGAUCAGAAGGUUGCGUGUUCAAAUCACGUCAGGGUCA